AUUAUACUACCAAAAAGAAAAUCUCAAUAAAAUUAAGUAGAAAUUGCCCAAGCCUUAUAUGCUCUAGUGUAAUAAAAUUAGAAAUACCAAAAGGAAAAAAUCAAAUUUCAUAUGACCACUCAAAAGUUUUGUAACAUUUUUCAAAGAGAAAACUAAAACUCUAAAGUUUAAUGAAAAUUAGCAUACUAUAUAGCAAAAGGUUUGCAGUAUGGCUAGCUACUGUGCACAGAGAAAAAUUCAUAGCCUUAAAUAUGUUUAUCAUUGCACCAGAGAAAAUGAAAACUGAUAAAUUAAACAUUCAGAUUAAAAGUCUAGAAAAACAAGAACGAAAUAAAGAGGAAAGAAUAGCAGUAAAAAGAAUUAAAUGCGGCGCCGGACAAAGGGAAGCGAAGCCGGAGCUGCGGGCGCUUUUUCUGCCCGCGGUGUCUCAGAUUCAUUCUUAAGGAACUGAGAACUUAAUCUUCCAAAAUGUCAAAAAGACCAUCUUAUGCCCCACCUCCCACCCCAGCUCCUGCAACACAAAUGCCCAGCACACCAGGGUUUGUGGGAUACAAUCCAUACAGUCAUCUCGCCUACAACAACUACAGGCUGGGAGGGAACCCUGGCACCAACAGCCGGGUCACGGCAUCCUCUGGUAUUACGAUUCCAAAACCCCCAAAGCCACCAGAUAAGCCGCUGAUGCCCUACAUGAGGUACAGCAGAAAGGUCUGGGACCAAGUAAAGGCUUCUAACCCUGACCUAAAGUUGUGGGAGAUUGGCAAGAUUAUUGGUGGCAUGUGGCGAGAUCUCACUGAUGAAGAGAAACAAGAAUAUUUAAACAAAUAUGAAGCAGAAAAGAUAGAAUACAAUGAAUCUAUGAAGGCCUAUCAUAAUUCCCCCGCUUACCUUGCUUACAUAAAUGCAAAAAGUCGUGCAGAAGCUGCUUUAGAGGAAGAAAGUCGACAGAGACAGUCUCACAUGGAGAAAGGAGAACCGUACAUGAGCAUUCAGCCUGCUGAAGAUCCAGAUGAUUAUGAUGAUGGCUUUUCAAUGAAGCAUACAGCCACUGCCCGUUUCCAGAGAAACCACCACCUCAUCAGUGAAAUCCGUAGUGAGAGUGCGGUGCCAGAUGUUCGGUCAGUUGUCACGACAGCCAGAAUGCAGGUCCUCAAACGACAGGUCCAAUCUUUAAUGGUUCAUCAGCGCAAACUAGAGGCUGAACUUCUUCAAAUAGAGGAACGACAUCAGGAAAAGAAGAGGAAAUUCCUGGAAAGCACAGAUUCAUUUAACAAUGAACUUAAAAGGUUGUGCGGUCUGAAGGUGGAAGUGGAUAUGGAGAAGACUGCAGCUGAGAUUGCACAGGCAGAGGAGCAAGCCCGCAAAAGGCAGGAGGAAAGGGAAAAGGAGGCAGCAGAGCAAGCGGAGCGCAGUCAGAGCAGCAUUGUUCCUGAGGAAGAGCAAGUGGCAAAUAAAGCUGAGGAAAAGAAAGAUGACGAGAACAUUCCAAUGGAGACAGAGGAGACACACCUUGAAGAAACAACAGAAAGCCAACAGAAUGGUGAAGAAGGCACCUCAACUCCUGAGGACAAGGAGAGUGGGCAGGAGGGGGUUGACAGUAUGGCAGAGGAAGGAACCAGUGACAGCAACACCGGCUCAGAGAGCAACAGUGCCACAGUGGAGGAGCCACCAACAGAUCCCAUACCAGAAGACGAGAAAAAGGAAUAGAUGUUGCCUUGUUUUAUGUGUUCUAAAUACUUUUUUAAAUGAAAAAUGUUUUUUGGUUUAAAAAAAAAAA